UUUCUCUGACAGGGGUUAUAUGGGGAGGUCUAUUGAUUCAAGACAAGCCAUGCUACCCCAGGUCACUACUUCUGGUUAAGUAGUUUGCCAGUAAACACACCUCAGGGAAUGCUACAGACUGACAUCUCCUGAAUGAAGAUCCCCUGCUAGCCUCAUCAAACAGCCAUCUAUUCCCGAUGUUACAGUUGUCCUUCUGGGCUCCUGACCUGCAUGAAAAGCUAUUCCUCUACAGUCUCACCAUGAUGGCCGUGAUGUGGGGCCAGUCAUCAACUGGAGAGUCACCAUUACACAGGUGUGCUGCAGAGUUCACUUCCACGGUAGCAAACACAAGGAGGACAGGUCACUUCAACUGACAUCUCCUGGAUCACACAUCAGUCUCUGAGUCAAAGAAGAGGCUGGCAGAGAGGAUUUAGUGUGCUACACAAAUGAGAAAAAUGAAG